rnacentral:rRNA from 1 species
ACAAAUUUCUUUGGUGGCGGGAGCAAUCCUACCGCCAGAGGUUAUAACUAAACCAAACUUUUUAUUUACAGUCAAACUUGAUUUAUUAUUACAAUAGUCAAAACUUUCAACAACGGAUCUCUUGGUUCUCGCAUCGAUGAAGAACGCAGCGAAAUGCGAUACGUAAUAUGAAUUGCAGAUAUUCGUGAAUCAUCGAAUCUUUGAACGCACAUUGCGCCCUUUGGUAUUCCAAAGGGCAUGCCUGUUUGAGCGUCAUUUCUCCCUCAAACCCCCGGGUUUGGUGUUGAGCAAUACGCUAGGUUUGUUUGAAAGAAUUUAACGUGGAAACUUAUUUUAAGCGACUUAGGUUUAUCCAAAAACGCUUAUUUUGCUAGUGGCCACCACAAUUUAUUUCAUAACUUUGACCUCAAAUCAGGUAGGACUACCCGCUGAACUUAAGCAUAUCAAUAAGCGGAGGAAAAGAAACCAACAGGGAUUGCCUUAGUAGCGGCGAGUGAAGCGGCAAAAGCUCAAAUUUGAAAUCUGGCUCUUUCAGAGUCCGAGUUGUAAUUUGAAGAAGGUAUCUUUGGGUCUGGCUCUUGUCUAUGUUUCUUGGAACAGAACGUCACAGAGGGUGAGAAUCCCGUGCGAUGAGAUGAUCCAGGCCUAUGUAAAGUUCCUUCGAAGAGUCGAGUUGUUUGGGAAUGCAGCUCUAAGUGGGUGGUAAAUUCCAUCUAA